rnacentral:rRNA from 1 species
AUGGAGCCACAUCACCCUCGGCGCGCUCCGACGGCCGCCAUGGAUCCCCCGUCCAGGCCGGCGAUGUCCCACUCCUCCGCCUUCCUCCUCCCCUCCUCCGCAACCCCAGCCGCCUCAGCGGACGCGUACGCGGUCGUCGUCCUCAACCAGCGCCUGCCCCGCUUCGCCCCUCUCCUCUGGGACCGCGCGCAGGUGCGGGUGUGCGCCGACGGGGGCGCUAAUCGCGUGUUCGACGGCAUGCCGGAGCUGCUCCCCGGCCACGACCCCGACGAUGUGCGCUCCAGAUACAAACCAGAUGUAAUCAAAGGGGAUAUGGAUUCAGUGCGACCAGAAGUGAAGGAAUAUUAUUCCAAUUUGGGUACCAAAAUAGCUGAUCAAUCACACGAUCAGGACACCACCGACUUGCACAAAUGUGUAGCAUUUAUCACUGACAAUUCUCCUGGCUCAGACAAAUCGAAUCUAUGCAUCCUUGUCCUCGGAGCACUAGGAGGUAGGUUUGAUCACGAGAUGGGAAACAUCAAUGUACUCCAUCUCUUCCCAAACAUUAAGAUCGUCCUCCUAUCAGAUGAUUGCCUGAUCUUUCUGCUCCCAAGAACGCACACUCACAACAUCCACAUUGAACGGUCAGUUGAGGGCCCCCACUGUGGGUUGAUUCCCGUUGGCGCACCUUCGACUAGCACCACGACCACCGGGCUCCGGUGGAAUUUAGAUAAUACUCAUAUGAGCUUCGGUGGAUUGAUUAGCACAUCGAACAUCGUUGAUGAGGACCAGGUUAUGGUCACUUCAGAUUCUGACCUGAUCUGGACAAUAUCGCUCCGGCACUGA